AUGGCAGUGAUGAUUGGCGCAGGGGUACGGACCUCAGCUGGAUCAUGGGAGCUGAAUGCAAACUGGUUCUUUCAGCGCAGCUGGCGUGUGGCUGGCUUGCUGGAAACAGGUUUGCAUGAGACUUUGCCAAUAUCUGAGCCAU
rfam:Columba livia unplaced genomic scaffold scaffold379, whole genome shotgun sequence.